rnacentral:rRNA from 1 species
CGACCCCAGGUCAGGCGGGGCUACCCGCUGAGUUUAAGCAUAUCAAUAAGCGGAGGAAAAGAAACUAACAAGGAUUCCCCUAGUAACGGC